GCAUGGCUACCAUCUCCCGCUCUUCCCCAUUCAAGUCAGCCUGACUGUCUCUUUGGUUCUGUGACUCAGUCUUCUCUAUAAUAAACUCCCUUUCCUCUCUGGUGUAUGUACUGGUCCCCAGCUCCACUUCUGCAUAUUCAGUCACUACUACAGACUCUGUUUCCAUCUCUUCACCAUAUAAGGCUGGGUCCAUACAACCAUCCAUCAACUCUGAUUGGAUCUCUGUUUCUGUCUUUCUAGUGGCCGCCACCACUACCGGAGUGAGAGACAGAGAGGAGAAGAUGCAGUCGCCAGCAGAGGAGGAAGAAGUUGCUGAUUGAGAGUAGAGUCUUCAACUGCAGAGGCUGAGAUAGAGAGUUGACACACUCUUCCAAGACAGAGGGUCCAGCAUUGAGCCAAGACACUGUCUACGAGAUGGGGAGCACACAUUAAUAUAAUAUGCAAUCAAUCAAAAUCGGUCCAGUUGUUCUUCAAUAAAAUAUUCUAAAUGCCCAUUAUCUUAAAUAAAAUGCUCCAAGAUGUCUCA